rnacentral:lncRNA from 1 species
CUUCUCCUGCGGGCUAAGGGUGUGGGCGACAGCUCGCACAUUCAAAUAAGGGAGCGAUUACACGGCGCUUGCUUCUGAAGACGGAUUUCCUGAGACUUUUAUGCGAGUGUGAGGGCCAGCAGGUGCACAUUUGAAGCUCAGUGGGAAGUGUUUUCCAAGCAACAGGAGACAGCAGAUGCAGAUGGGGUCCAAUUACUGCUGCUCACGGCUGAUCACGCCAUGCACUUGUGUGCGGAUACCUGGCUCCUGGUCUCAGGCACCUAGUAUGGGGCUAUGCACACGGGAACGCUCAUGGAUUCCUGAGAAGUUGGCUGGAACUAAGGGAGCAUUCAGAGACCACAGAUCCAGUUGACUGGUCCCUGCUGACAUCCAGUCCACGUUGUUGGCCACAUCAGCUCCUCUUCAAACUCAUGAUGCAAAUCAACAGCUAAACAUGUUGAUAUUUUUUGUUUCUCUCAGCUAAGUGGAUCCCUGAGUCCUCCUGGUGCAGUGGAAAGAUUUGAGUUUUGCAGCCAAAUAGAGUGAGGUUUAAAUGGUGGCUAAGCGGCUCACGCCUAUAAUCCCAGCACUUUGGGAGGCAUAGGCGGGUGGAUCAUCUGAGGUCAGGAGUUCUAGAGCAGCCUGGACAACAUGGUGAAAUCCCGUCUCUACUAAAAAUACAAAAAUUAGCCGGACGUGGUAAUCCCAGCUACCUGGGAGGCUGAGACAGGAGUAUUGCUUGAACCCGGGAGGCAGAGGUUGCAGUGAGCCAAGAUCGUGCCACUGCACCCCAGCCUGGGUGACAGAGUGAGAUUCCAUCUCAAUAAAUAAGUAAAUAAAUAAAUACAUAAAUGGUGGCUAA